UACGUAGGGUGCAAGCGUUGUCCGGAAUUAUUGGGCGUAAAGAGCUCGUAGGCGGCUUGUUGCGUCGACCGUGAAAACCCGCGGCUCAACUGCGGGCUUGCGGUUGAUACGGGCAGGCUGGAGUUCGGUAGGGGAGACUGGAAUUCCUGGUGUAGCGGUGAAAUGCGCAGAUAUCAGGAGGAACACCGGUGGCGAAGGCGGCGACCUGGUCCUUGACUGACGCUGAGGCGCGAAAGCGUGGGGAGCAAACAGG
rnacentral:rRNA from 1 species